rnacentral:rRNA from 1 species
UACGUAGGUGGCAAGCGUUAUCCGGAUUUAUUGGGCGUAAAGAGAACGCAGGCGGUCUUUUAAGUCUGAUGUGAAAGCCUUCGGCUUAACCGGAGUAGUGCAUUGGAAACUGGGAGACUUGAGUGCAGAAGAGGAGAGUGGAACUCCGUGUGUAGCGGUGAAAUGCGUAGAUAUAUGGAAGAACACCAGUGGCGAAAGCGGCUCUCUGGUCUGUAACUGACGCUGAGGUUCGAAAGCGUGGGUAGCAAACAGG